UCACUAAUCAGGCUUGGCUUGCUGUUGGACCUCUUGUCGUUAAACCGACAGGCUCUAAAGAUAAUGACGGCGUUAUUUGGACCCCUAGAUGCAACGAGCUUUCAUCAGCAUGCGUUUAGUUGGACCUUUUAACCCGGUCUUUUUUAACCAAUUUUCUAA
rnacentral:misc_RNA from 1 species